rnacentral:rRNA from 1 species
UACAUGGGGUGCAAACGUUGCUCGGAAUUAUUGGGCGUAAAGCGCGCGUAGGCGGUUACUUAAGUCGGAUGUGAAAGCCCUCGGCUUAACUGAGGAAGUGCACCCGAAACUGAGUAGCUAGAGUACGAAAGAGGGUCGCGGAAUUCCCGGUGUAGAGGUGAAAUUCGUAGAUAUCGGGAGGAACACCGGUGGCGAAGGCGGCGACCUGGGUCGAGACUGACGCUGAGGCGCGAAAGCAUGGGGAGCGAACAGG